ACGUUGUCGACGGGGAUUGUUGCUCCGUAGAGGAGCGGCUUCCGGAGAUAACGCGAUAAGUCGACCGCCUGGGGAGUACGGCCGCAAGGUUAAAACUCAAAUGAAUUGACGGGGGCCCGCACAAGCGGUGGAGCAUGUGGUUUAAUUCGAUGCAACGCGAAGAACCUUACCUACUCUUGACAUCCACGGAAUUUGGCAGAGAUGCCUUAGUGCCUUCGGGAACCGUGAGACAGGUGCUGCAUGGCUGUCGUCAGCUCGUGUUGUGAAAUGUUGGGUUAAGUCCCGCAACGAGCGCAACCCUUAUCCUUUGUUGCCAGCGAUUCGGUCGGGAACUCAAAGGAGACUGCCGGUGAUAAACCGGAGGAAGGUGGGGAUGACGUCAAGUCAUCAUGGCCCUUACGAGUAGGGCUACACACGUGCUACAAUGGCGCAUACAAAGAGAAGCGACCUCGCGAGAGCAAGCGGACCUCACAAAGUGCGUCGUAGUCCGGAUCGGAGUCUGCAACUCGACUCCGUGAAGUCGGAAUCGCUAGUAAUCGUGGAUCAGAAUGCCACGGUGAAUACGUUCCCGGGCCUUGUACACACCGCCCGUCACACCAUGGGAGUGGGUUGCAAAAGAAGUAGGUAGCUUAACCUUCGGGAGGGCGCUUACCACUUUGUGAUUCAUGACUGGGGGGAAGU
rnacentral:rRNA from 1 species